GGCGGCAGUUGAGCAGCAGUUUUGUGCCGGUGUGGAUUUUAACAAAAUUUUUGUUUAGUUUGCUAAAUAAAUAUCGUUGAACUCGUUAAUUUAGAAUUAUUUUCAAAUUUCAAAGUUUAUUGUGCAUCAAUCACAUUGUGCAAUAAUGCCUCCCCACUCGCUGAACCUUGACAUGAAGACGGUAAAAAAGCAGGUCGUUCGGAAGUACACAAUUGCAGACUGCAAUUUGCAGUCGACGAGGUUUAGCAAAAACUGUGAAAUGGAUGUCCGAGCUCAAUUUUGCCUUAAACCAUGUAAAAGUUGAUAUUCAGAACUUAUCGGAUUAUUCUGCACUAUCGUUUGAGUAAAGAGAAUUAUACGAUACUUAUCUCCUUUGCAAGACCUAUUUCGAUAAUGGAGAAUAUUUGAGGUGUGCAUUUGUCGCUGAACCAUUUUCCAAGUUGUGUCCAAUUCUGCGAUUUUUGCGUUUUUAUUCUCUGUUUUUGGAUUGUGAAAAGAAACGGUUGGAAAGCAUGAGUGAACUUACAGCUGUUCUGUCGGAUCCAAAACAAUGGGACAAUCGAGAGAAUUGACAAACAAAAUACUAGCUUCGUAUGAUGAGAAUAUUGAUCCACAAGAUUACGACCCCUAUGAUUUAUACCUCCUGGGAAUGAUUAACCGACGACUUGAAGACACUGAUGUAUCAACAGAUUAUCUGAUGGCGUCUAUAUCUUCGAAUAACUAUAUUUGGGGGCAUGGGUGGAGUUGGCCUUUCUAAUUAUGGAUAGGAAGCGGUUAGGUUAUUGGAGCAAACACUACCCAAUUGUUGGAUGAAGUACUUCUUUGUCGGCCACAUCUCUUCAAAGCUUCACAUGAACGAGAAAGCACUUCGGACUUAUUUUGCACUUCAAAAGUCUGGGUUUCAUAACAGCGUGUAUAUUAAAACAUUGCUAUUGCGUAUCAUAAUGUACAACGUGUUGAUGAGAGGCGAUUGAUAUUCGAUUUAGAGGACAGAUUGGAUGAAAUGGAUCUUUAUUCGAAUAUGCUGUAUGUAAAACUAGAAAAAUACUUCCUGCUAGUUUAGCAAACAAGUCUGUUGAAAUCGAUAAAUAUAGGGUGGAAACAUGUUGCAUCAUAGUUCAACCAUUUAAACAGGUAACUUGCACAGUCUAAAGAGAGAACAUCCCAAAGCAAUAGAGUAUUUUGAAAGAGCUCUAAUUCACCCCUACUACUUAUCGGCUUGGACUCUUAUGUGUCGUGAGUUUAUGGAGUUAAAGAAUUCCAAUGCCGCGAUCCAAUGUUAUAGAGAAGCUGGUGAAGUGAACAAGCACGAUUAUCGACCUUGGAAUGGACUUGGACAGACCUACGACAUAUUAAACAUGUCUGGUUACAUAAGCAAGCGCAUCGUAUGCGACCGAAUGAUAGUAGAUUACUAAUUGCUCUUGGUGAAGCUUACGAGAAACUGGACAGGCCUCGAUGUGCUGGUAAAUGUUACGAGAGAGCAAGACAAUUGGGUGAUGAUGAAGGAUUGGCCAUUCUAAAUUUGGCAAAAAGAAUGCUGAAGGGCACUGAUCCAGAGAAUUCCCUGAGGUAAAAGAUGAAGCCGUAGUACUCCUGGUCCAAUUAGCCUUGAAACUACCGGGCCAUGAAACACGAGAAAUUAUUGGAUUUGGAUGGGGGUGGAAUUAUAAAUGUCGAAUGUCUAUGUGAAACGUGCCCAUUGGGGAGAUCGUGUGGAGUUCGACUCCACCAAAGUCCAUCACAAGCUGCUGACAUCUCAAACUGAGAACAUCUCUCAAAAUUCAAAUACAACUAACUCAUCAUCAACUACGCCGAGCGAGUGGGUGCGGGUGCCCCCGUCUACUUGGCCGCCGAAGUCCUCGAGUUGGCUGGAAACGCUGCUCGAGACAACAAAAAGACCAGGAUCAUCCCCCGUCACCUCCAACUCGCCAUCCGAAACGACGAGGAGUUGAACAAGCUGCUCUCCGGGGUCACCAUCGCCCAGGGAGGUGUCCUUCCCAACAUCCAAGCCGUCCUUCUCCCCAAGAAGUCGGAAAAGAAGUCCGCCUAAUUCCUCAGCUUUCACAAAUCUACACGCUCAAAACCCAACGGCCCUUUGAAGGGCCACCACAUUAUCCAAAGAGCUCAAAAAAUAAUCCAGUACUAACAUAAUUGCACUUUAUUCGUUCAUGCUCAACUUUGCUUCAUCAAUUAUUUUCAUGCGUUUAUUUGUUGACGAGAAAUUUCAACAAAGUAGUGCAGUUAGUUAAUGAUGUAAAAUAAAAUGAAACGGGUGGAUGGAUGAGGAAUUAUUUUUCCUUGUGCCUUCAAAGCAUUUAUUUAUGUACUUUUACAAUUGAAAUCAGUAAUUUCGCCCUCCUGCAAUUUAUGUAUGCAAUGAUUAAUACCCCGUAGUUUAGUUAUGAUUGAUUUCUAAUCAGACUUGUGGAUAAUAUUAAGGUAGCCCAAAAAAGACUCGAACAUGUUUUACAUAAGUUUUUAACAUUGUAUAAAUACAUGCAAAUUGGAUGUCA